rnacentral:rRNA from 1 species
AGCGAACGCUGGCGGCAGGCCUAACACAUGCAAGUCGAACGGAUCCUUCGGGAUUAGUGGCGGACGGGUGAGUAACCCGUGGGAACGUGCCCUUUGGUUCGGAACAACUCAGGGACACUUGUGCUAAUACCGGAUGUGCCCUUCGGGGGAAAGAUUUAUCGCCAUUGGAGCGGCCCGCGUCUGAUUAGCUAGUUGGUGAGGUAACGGCCCACCAAGGCGACGAUCAGUAGCUGGUUUGAGAGGAUGAUCAGCCACACUGGGACUGAGACACGGCCCAGACUCCUACGGGAGGCAGCAGUGGGGAAUCUUGCGCAAUGGGCGAAAGCCUGACGCAGCCAUGCCGCGUGAAUGAUGAAGGUCUUAGGAUUGUAAAAUUCUUUCAGCGGGGAAGAUAAUGACGGUACCCGCAGAAGAAGCUACGGCUAACUUCGUG